GCCCGUUUGGUACUUCGUGGGUAAUCACCAGCUCAACUGGUUGAAUUCUGCGAGCACGGCCAGACUUGGGACCGGGAGAGGUGUGGGGUACGCUCAGGGUAGGGGUAAAAUCCUGUCAUCCUGAGCGGACCACCUGUUGCGAAGGCGCCACACUAGAACGGAUCCGACGGUCAGGGACGAAGCCUAGGGGCACGAACCGGAUUAGAUACCCGGGUAGUCCUAGGUGUAAACGCUGUGGACUUGGUGUUGGGGACUCUCCGAGAUUCCUCAGUGCCGAAGCGAAGGUGAUAAGUCCACUGCCUGGGGAGUACGGUCGCAAGGCUGAAACUUAAAGGAAUUGGCGGGGGAGCACCGCAACCUGAGGAUUGUGCGGUUUAAUUGGAUUCAACGCCGGAAAACUCACCAGUGCCGACGGACAAAUGAAAGCCAGUGUAAUGAGCUUGCUGGAUUGUUCGAGAGGUAGUGCAUGGCCGCCGUCAGUUCGUACCGUAAGGCGUUCUGUUAAGUCAGAUAACGAACGAGACCCUCAUCCCUAUUUGCUAAGGUCAGUCCGCUGAUCACAGGACUAUAGGGAGACCGCUGGCGCGAAGUCAGAGGAAGGCGAGGGCAACGGUAGGUCAGUAUGCUCCGAAUGCACUGGGCUACACGCGCAAUACAAAGGACGGGACAAUGGGCCGCUGCGCCGAGAGGCAUGUGGCUAUCCCGAAACCCGUUCGUAGUUCGGAUUAAGGGCUGUAACUCGCCCUCAUGAAGCUGGAUUAGGUAGUAAUCGCGUCUCAAAAAGGCGCGGUGAAUAUGUCCCUGCUCCUUGCAC
rnacentral:rRNA from 1 species